rnacentral:tRNA from 1 species
ACCUAUUUAUUUUAAUUAAAAUAUUGAUUUGUGGUAUCAAUGAUAUGAAUCUAUUUCAUUUUAGGUC